rnacentral:rRNA from 1 species
ACGAACGCUGGCGGCGUGCCUAAUACAUGCAAGUUGAGCGCUGAAGGUUGGUACUUGUACCAACUGGAUGAGCAGCGAACGGGUGAGUAACGCGUGGGGAAUCUGCCUUUGAGCGGGGGACAACAUUUGGAAACGAAUGCUAAUACCGCAUAAAAACUUUAAACACAAGUUUUAAGUUUGAAAGAUGCAAUUGCAUCACUCAAGGAUGAUCCCGCGUUGUAUUAGCUAGUUGGUGAGGUAAAGGCUCACCAAGGCGAUGAUACAUAGCCGACCUGAGAGGGUGAUCGGCCACAUUGGGACUGAGACACGGCCCAAACUCCUACGGGAGGCAGCAGUAGGGAAUCUUCGGCAAUAGACGAAAGUCUGACCGAGCAACGCCGCGUGAGUGAAGAAGGUUUUCGGAUCGUAAAACUCUGUUGGUAGAGAAGAACGUUGGUGAGAGUGGAAAGCUCAUCAAGUGACGGUAACUACCCAGAAAGGGACGGCUAACUACGUG